GCCUUCGUGGUGUAAUGGUCAGCACGCUCGACGCGUAUUCGAGAGAUCCGCGGUUCGAUUCCCUGCGACGGCA
rnacentral:tRNA from 1 species